rnacentral:rRNA from 1 species
UACGAAGGGGGCUAGCGUUGUUCGGAAUUACUGGGCGUAAAGCGCACGUAGGCGGGUCGUUAAGUCAGGGGUGAAAUCCCAGAGCUCAACUCUGGAACUGCCUUUGAUACUGACGACCUAGAGUUCGGAAGAGGUUAGUGGAAUUCCCAGUGUAGAGGUGAAAUUCGUAGAUAUUGGGAAGAACACCAGUGGCGAAGGCGGCUAACUGGUCCGAUACUGACGCUGAGGUGCGAAAGCGUGGGGAGCAAACAGG